rnacentral:lncRNA from 1 species
CGCUGCCAGGCAAGUGGCGCGCGGGGAUCCCGGUUUCCCAGCCCCCUUCCGGCAGGCAGCAGCCCGGGCGGGGGACACACUCCGUGAUCCCCUCCUGGCUGGAGGGGUCAGGCUUGGUGGACCCAGCAAGCAGCCUGAUGGAGAAGGUGGCACCAGACGCAGACCCCUACCGUCCAGGACCGCAAGCCCUCGCCGGCUCUGCGUGCUUUUAGGUUUUGUCUCCACCUCUGCACACCCACACUCGCCUCCUGGGCCGCGACAGCUUCCUUCUGUCAAUCAGGUGUGGACGGGAAGGUCUCGAAGUUUCCUCGCCUGAGUUGAAAGCUGGAGGUGGGGGCACCUCUGCCCGUUCCUAACUGCCCCGUUAUAAGGUCCCCCUCCCCACAAUUGGUUCUCACCUCGCCCUCGGAGCUCUUGGGAGAUCCCUCCGUCCCUCCUACUGUGCCCUCGGGCAGAUGAGUCUGGUCCCAGCUUCUGGACUGCCCACUGUCGGCCACUUGAGAGUUGGGGACGGUGGGGCAUUGUGACGCUCUCCAACCUUGGAACACGGUGGCAAAGUGGCCGAUCAAUAUAUGGGACAAGUGGGGGCGGGGGGGCGGACUCUAAGGUGGAAAAAACAAUACUACUUGGGAUUUAAGGAAGCAAUCUGGAUUCUGUCUCCCCUUGGUUCUUCGGAGCUUAGAGGUCUAACGGCGACAUUCCUCCUACAGUAAGGGCUCUUCUGGGUCCCUCGUUUCCAAAGGCAUGAAAGUUCUGACCUGAAAAUGGGGGCCGGGGAGGGUGAUGUCACAACCAUAUAACGCAGCUCCUUCAGCCGACUCCCACCCGCAAGAACUGAGACCUGACGGAUAAAAGCAGAGAGGAGUCAGAGUGAGCGCUGCGUUUGGGAAACUGCAUUCCAGGGCAGCAAGACUGGUGCCAAGACGGAGUCGUGGCAAAAGCAUCCGGAGGUCUUCCUUAAUAUAUGUCAGCAGUGGAGUGGUGUGCUUAAGGAGAGAGAGACUUGGAAAAAUACAGACCGAGAACAAGGCCAUGUGGAGAUAGAGGCAGAGACUGAAGUUGUACCACCAAAGGCAAAGAAUAUCAAGUAUUAUCAGUAACCACAGGAAGCUGGAAGAGGCCAGGAAAGGUUUUUCUUAGAGACCUUGGAAGGAGCCUGACCCUGGAACACCUUGAUUUUAGACUUCUGACCCUCAAAAUUGUGAAAGAAUAAAUUUCUGUUGUUUUAAGCAA